rnacentral:tRNA from 1 species
UGGGGAGUAGUCGAAUUGGUAAGACGUCGCGCUCUGGACGCGAAGAUUCUAGGUUCGAGCCCUAGCUCCCCAGCCA